rnacentral:rRNA from 1 species
AACGAACGCUGGCGGCGUGCCUAAGACAUGCAAGUCGUGCGGAAAGGCUCCUUCGGGAGUACUCGAGCGGCGCACGGGUGAGUAACACGUGGGUAAUCUACCUGAGGGUCUGGGAUAACUCCGGGAAACUGGGGCUAAUACCAGAUGAGACCACAGCGUCUUCGGAUGCAGCGGUCAAAGAUGGCCUCUCCUUGGAAGCUAUCGCCCAUAGAUGAGCCCGCGUCCCAUUAGCUAGUUGGCGGGGUAACGGCCCACCAAGGCGACGAUGGGUAGCUGGUCUGAGAGGAUGAUCAGCCACACUGGAACUGAGACACGGUCCAGACUCCUACGGGAGGCAGCAGUCGGGAAUUUUGGGCAAUGGGCGAAAGCCUGACCCAGCAACGCCGCGUGAGGGAUGAAGGCCUUCGGGUCGUAAACCUCUGUCGGGAGGGACGAAAGGUCGGCG